UGUCCACACCAGGGAAGCCCCACCCACCGGAAGCCAAGAUGUCCAGUAAGCGAGCCAAGGCCAAGAUCACCAAGAAGCAGCCACAGCGGGCCACAUCCAAUGUCUUUGCGAUGUUUGACCAGUCCCAGAUCCAGGAGUUUAAGGAGGCCUGCAACAUGAUCGACCAGAACCAAGAUGGCUUCAUUGACAAGGAGGACUUGCAUGACAUGCUGGCCUCCCCGGGAAAGAACCCCACAGAUGAGUACUUGGAGGGCAUGAUGAGCGAGGUCCCUGGGCCCAUCAACUUCACCAUGUUCCUGACGAUGUUUGGGGAGAAGCUGAACGGCAUGGACCCCGAGGAUGUGAUCCACAAUGCCUUUGCCUGCUUCGACGAAGAGGCCUCAGGUUUUACCCAUGAGGACCAUCUUCGGGAGCUGCUCACCACCAUGGGUGACUGCUUCACAGACGAGGAAGUGGACGAGAUGUACCGUGAGGCACCCAUUGACAAGAAAGGCAACUUCAACUACCUGGAGUUCACGCGCAUCCUAAAACACGGUGCCAAGGACAAAGACCACUAGGCCUCCCAAGGCCCCCAUGUCCAGCCCCUGUCCCAGUCACCUGCUCCACACACAUACACAGUCUGCACCUGCUCAUGCCCAUGGGUCCCAAUCAGGGGAGCCUCCCUCUGAGGGAUUAGGGCCCAGCUCCCAGUGGAGGAACAGGCCCAGAGAGAGCAGUGCCAGGCAAGGAUCACACAGCCACUGUGAGGCAGGUGUGCCCACUGUGA